rnacentral:rRNA from 1 species
UACGAGGGGGGCGAGCGUUGUUCGGAAUUAUUGGGCGUAAAGGGUGCGUAGGCGGUUCCGCAAGUCCUGUGUGAAAUCUUCGGGCUCAACUCGAAGUCUGCACGGGAAACUGCGGGGCUUGAGUGUGGGAGAGGUGAGUGGAAUUCCCGGUGUAGCGGUGAAAUGCGUAGAUAUCUGGAGGAACACCGGUGGCGAAGGCGGCAUCCUGGACCGGUAUUGACGCUGAGGCGCGAAAGCCAGGGGAGCAAACGGG